UACGGAGGGUGCAAGCGUUAUCCGGAUUCACUGGGUUUAAAGGGUGCGUAGGAGGACUGGUAAGUCAGUGGUGAAAUCCCCGAGCUUAACUUGGGAAUUGCCGUUGAUACUAUCAGUCUUGAAUACCGUGGAGGUGAGCGGAAUAUGUCAUGUAGCGGUGAAAUGCUUAGAUAUGACAUAGAACACCAAUUGCGAAGGCAGCUCGCUACACGAAUAUUGACUCUGAGGCACGAAAGCGUGGGGAUCAAACAGG
rnacentral:rRNA from 1 species